UACGUAGGGUGCAAACGUUGCUCGGAAUCACUGGGCGUAAAGCGCACGUAGGCGGAUCUUUUAAGUCAGGGGUGAAAUCCCGAGGCUCAACCUCGGAACUGCCUUUGAUACUGGGGAUCUCGAGUCCGGAAGAGGUUGGUGGAACUCCGAGUGUAGAGGUGAAAUUCGUAGAUAUUCGGAAGAACACCAGUGGCGAAGGCGGCCAACUGGUCCGGUACUGACGCUGAGGUGCGAAAGCGUGGGGAGCAAACAGG
rnacentral:rRNA from 1 species